AUAUCGGUAAACCGAUCGAAAGGUCGGGACACAAAGCCAUAUGGGGCUACCGCCGAUCUUUCGGUCAUGCCAGCCGGUUGCCG
rnacentral:ncRNA from 1 species